rnacentral:rRNA from 1 species
GAUGAACGCUGGCGGCGUGCUUAACACAUGCAAGUCGAACGAAGAUGUCGGAGUGCUUGCACUUUGGCAGACUGAGUGGCGGACGGGUGAGUAACGCGUGGGUAACCUGCCUUAUACAGGGGGAUAACAGUUGGAAACGACUGCUAAUACCGCAUAAGCGCACGGUAUCGCAUGAUACAGUGUGAAAAACUCCGGUGGUAUAAGAUGGACCCGCGUCUGAUUAGCUUGUUGGUGAGGUAACGGCCCACCAAGGCGACGAUCAGUAGCCGGCCUGAGAGGGUGAACGGCCACAUUGGGACUGAGACACGGGCCCAAACUCCUACGGGAGGCAGCAGUGGGGAAUAUUGCACAAUGGGGGAAACCCUGAUGCAGCGACGCCGCGUGAGUGAUGAAGUAUUUCGGGUAUGGUAAAACUCUAUCAGCAGGGAAGAUAAUGACGGUACCUGACUAAGAAGCACCGGCUAAAUACGUGCCAGCAGCCGCGGU